rnacentral:rRNA from 1 species
AGGAUGCUUCGGGAGCGGCCCCCAUCUAAGUGCCCUGGAACGGGCCGUCAUAGAGGGUGAGAAUCCCGUCUGGGAUGGGGUGCCCGCGCCCGUGUGAAGCUCCUUCGACNAGUCGAGUUGUUUGGGAAUGCCGCUCUGAAUGGGUGGUAAAUUUCAUCUAAAGCUAAAUACUGGCCGGAGACCUAUUGCGCACUAGUAGAGUGAUCAAAAGAUGAAAAGCACUUUGAAAAGAGAGUUAAACAGCACGUGAAAUUGUUGAAAGGGAAGCGCUUGCAACCAGACUCGCCCGCAGGGUUCAACCCGCUUUCGUGCCGGUGUACUUCCCCGCGGGAGGGCCCGCUUCGGGUUGGGCGGNCGGUCAAAGGUCCUCAGAAUGUAACGCCCCCU